UGGGGAAUUUUGCACAAUGGGGGAAACCCUGAUGCAGCGACGCCGCGUGAUUUAGAAGGCCUUCGGGUUGUAAAAAUCUUUUGUAUGGGAAGAAAAUGACAGUACCAUACGAAUAAGGACCGGCUAAUUACGUGCCAGCAGCCGCGGUAAUACGUAAGGUCCGAGCGUUGUCCGGAAUCAUUGGGCGUAAAGGGUACGUAGGCGGAUAAGCAAGUUAGAAGUGAAAUCCUAUAGCUCAACUAUAGUAAGCUUUUAAAACUGCUCAUCUUGAGGUAUGGAAGGUAAAGUGGAAUUCCUAGUGUGGCGGUGAAAUGCGCAGAUAUUAGGAGAAAUACCGGUGGCGAAGGCGACUUUCUGGCCAUAUACUGACGCUGAGGUACGAAAGCGUGGGUAGCAAACAGG
rnacentral:rRNA from 1 species